CAUUUCAACACCAACAAUAAAAGAUAUUUGGCAAAUUAACGAGCACCGCCCUCAAGUAGUGAUCAUAGUGUGAGCGCAGCAUUAUGAUCUGAAUAUUCGUAAGUAUGCAACUCUGUUUUUCGUACAUUUCGCAAAAUAUUAUACAGCAACAAGUGAGCGAAUUGCACGCGAAAAUACAAAGGCAUCAUCAGCAUAUGUGAACAAUUUGAAUGCUGACAAAGAGCUAUUUGCUGAAGCACAGAAAGACUGAUGAGAUUGCGAUCAUCCCAUGUUGAAGAUAUCUGGGAUGUCGCCAUAUGGAAGGAUAUCUAUAAUCCCCUCGUUGCCGCUGCUAAGAGAUGUUUGUGUCAUCUAAGCUUUAAGUGACCUAGAGAAGCCUACCUAUAUAGUAUGUGCAAGAAAAUCAUUUGCAGCUGUUUGAAUUUGUGGGACGAAUGUUGGGCAAAGCGGUGUAUGGCCAGAUACAUCAAGCGUUGUACUCCUGUAUGGAUGAGCUGCCAUCAUUGGACAACGAGCUCUGUCGCAGCCUCACAUUCAUUAAGCACUACAAACAAGAUGUGUCUGACUUGAAUUUAACCUUUUCGGUGGAUCAGGAUGUCAUGGGGAAAAUUGUAUUGCAUCCCGGUAGGAAAGCUCGCGCGGUUACCAACCACAACAAACUGGUGUAUCCACUACAUGGCUUACUUCCAUAUGAACACACAAAUUCGCGAACAGACGCAGGCCUUUAAUCGUGGUUUUCGCGUGGUGUUUUUCUGUAUUACAGAUUCAAAGGUGUUUAUGAUAAUCAGCGAAAAAAAUGCGAAAUUUGCUACAUUCAGUUACUACAACAAUAUUGAAGAAAUAUUAUAGAAAGUAAUCCAUGUUGGUUCUUGCUUACUUUGUAAUAUGUAAUGCACACGAUUCGUGCAUUCUUCGUACAACUAUUAUUAGAAUAGAAUUACUUUAAACUAAUUUAUAUUGUACGUAGUAAUUAGAGCUAACUUACGCGCUUUGUUAAAGAAUUAUAGAAAUUAUUCCAUGUUGGUUUUUGCUUACAAGGUAAGCAAGGGGAAGAAAGUUCUGUAUACAUAAGAUGAAAUUGCUUUAUGUUUUUUUUUGCUCCUAAAACUGCAACACUUAUGUUGAAGAUUUGUUAUUAUAAAUUAUGUUAUGUAUAUCGGCGUGGAUGCGUAGUGAAAAUGUAAAAUUUAUAAAUAAAAAUAUCUUAUUUGAAAAUAAGAGAACUGUAAAUGAAA